rnacentral:rRNA from 1 species
UACGUAGGGUGCAAGCGUUGUCCGGAAUUAUUGGGCGUAAAGAGCUCGUAGGCGGUCUGUCGCGUCGAAUGUGAAAACCCGGGGCUCAACCCCGGGCCUGCAUUCGAUACGGGCAGACUAGAGUUCGGUAGGGGAGUCUGGAAUUCCUGGUGUAGCGGUGAAAUGCGCAGAUAUCAGGAGGAACACCGGUGGCGAAGGCGGGUCUCUGGGCCGUAACUGACGCUGAGGAGCGAAAGCAUGGGGAGCGAACAGG